rnacentral:tRNA from 1 species
AAGUGGCCGAAUGAUAGGUGGCAGGCUGUAGUCCUGUAGACAUUGGUUUAAUUCCUUUCAUUUAUC